UCUAACAAGGUCUCCGUAGGUGAACCUGCGGAGGGAUCAUUA
rnacentral:rRNA from 1 species